UCACACAGGGUGGAAGUCUCUGGGGAAGACAGAGCUGUGCUCUAGAGAAGAUGCGGCUGCUGGGUCUCCUCCUGUGCCUGGUGACAGCCCCCCAGGGUGUCCUGUCCCAGUUGCAGCUGCAGGAGUCCGGCCCAGGACUGGUGAAACCCUCACAGACCCUCUCCCUCACCUGCACCGUGUCUGGUGGCUCAGUCACCAGCAGUUACUACUGGCACUGGAUCCGCCAAUCACCAGGGAAGGGGCUGGAGUGGAUGGGGUACUGGACAGGGAGCACAAGUUACAACCCAGCUUUCAAGGACCGAAUCUCCAUCACUGCUGACACAUCCAGGAACCAGUUCUCCCUGAAACUGAGUUCUGUGACCACAGAGGACACAGCUGUGUAUUACUGUGCAAGAAACACAGUGAGGGGAAGUCAGGGUGAACCCAUACACAAACUUCCUUUCCUCAUUCAGCAGAUGAAUCUCCUAGUGGAAGAUGAUCAAGACACUAUCGAGGACGGCGUGUGGGGAAAAUGUUGUGAGUCUCCUGAGAGUGUGGGAUACCUGGAUCAGUUAAUUUAG